UAUAUAUAUAUAUAUAUAUAUAUAUAUAUAUAUAUAUAUAUAUAUAUAUAUAUAUAUAUAUAUAUAUGCUUCCAUAAUGGUAGGCAAGUUGCCAGGAUCACAAAAAUGGCAUUAAAUGGGGCUUUCCCUCUAUUUUGUUUCACACAAGAAAAUUUGGACUGGGUACUUUUUCUUCACAAGGUAACACAAAAUAUAUUUGUCUUACAUCUGACAUUCACCCCAGGACCUUAUACAAAAUAUCAACUUGUUAACCAUAAUUCAUCAUCCAACAUCAACUUCUUUCCCAAUCAGAUAACUUGGCUAUAUUCCACCUCUUCACUGACCAUGUUCUCUCCAGGCAUCUACUCUACUAUUUCCAUGCAAAAACCAGCAUUAGCUUCAACACCUACUAUGAUUUAGACAUGUACCAUUAAAUUAACCAGCUAGGAGUCAACAUUAACCACUUUUCUGCCAGAAACCUUAGGCUCUCAUACACCAAAUGUAACCUAGGAAAAUAGAAUAAUGGUAAAGCUGAGUUAAUAAUUUGGGGGAAAUAGUAUGAAGAACUGCUAAGGCAUAGAGCUGCAUGGAGGCAGUGGCCAGCAGACUUGUUCAGGCAGCAUCGGAGACAUGUUUCCUUGAAAGUGUAGGCCAGCUGGGAAUCCAAGUAAGUUGUUCAGAAAGAUUGAAUAAUUGGAUAACUAUUAGGGUAGAGUUAAAAGUGUUAAAAAAAGAUUUGGCAUGAAUUAGAUGGGGACUGAAAGAAAUGAAACCUUUUUAUUAUUAGGGGGAAGAUUUAUUAUGUGGUGUAAACAAAUGGCGGAAUAAUUUGCCACACAUUGCUAGGCAUCGCUGUGUAAACAGUGGCGUAAUUGUUUUCUUUUUUUUAACACUUUCUCUUUGAGCAACAUCUGCGGGAACUUGCUUACAGUGGUCUGAAGAAGUGUAAAAUAACAGCAGCAAAUCUGGCAUUCACAUGGUGUAAAAUAAACACACCUUGAUAUAUUACCUUAUAUAUACCUUUAUUUUUAUUUUUUUACACAGCAUAAUAAAUAGUCCCCUCAAUGUUGUGCAAACUGAUUGCCAAUCAAGGUCAAACUAGGCUUUUGUGGUUUAGUAUUCUCAUGAAAGCAUAGAAACUGGGGAUGCACCAAAUCCACUAUUUUAGGAUUCAAACAAAUCCUUUAUGAAAUAAGCUGCUGUAUACUGAACCAUAAUCUGCAUAUGUAAAUUAGGGAAACUAACACAAGCUUUUUACUUGUAUGUGUGACACAGUCACAUGGUUUUUGGAUAGGGUUCAGCCAGACACUUGGAUUUGGCUGAAUUGGAAUCCUUCUGAAAAGGCAGAAUCUUAGCUGAAUCCUAGAUUCGAUGCAUCCCUAAUAGAAACCAAUGAGCUGCCUGUACCUCAUGCAGACUUGCCUUCUGGAAAUCCCUAACCAUUUUUCUGUUUUAUAUCUGGGACUCAUUUUGGGAGAAUGGUAUAACUGAUCUGUAGGCACUGAGAAGGAAUGAACUGACCAUUUCUUUCCUUGUUUAUAAUAUAUUUUAGAUACCUAUGAAAAAGAGAGGUGAGUAUGUUGAAAUAUAAAUUUCCAUGUAUAGGUUAAAAAUUAAAAGUUCACCUAUUCACCACAUGGCAUUCUUCUUAAUGUUCUAGGAAAGAAUAGUUUUACUCAGUGAAGUCUAAAGAAUCACAUGGAAGCCAGCUGGUCAUGUAACUUCUUAUUUCUCUGAGGGAUCUUAAAGUGCUAAAGGUAAGUGCAUCUGCCUGAGUUGAGGAAGAUGAAAUAAAGUUUCCAUACAUCAUAUUAAGAUUAUUUUAAACACCACUUAAAAUGUACUCCUUUAUGAAGCAAGAGCAAGGUGCAUAAUUCAAAUGCUAUCCAAUGCAGCUUUAUUUAGCAGAAUGCCAGAAUAUACUCUGAGUGUGCAUUGGUAAAGCAUUUGCAAUUUAUGCUUGCAUCAAUGAGGGGGGAAAUUGUAAUUUCUGGUGUGGUGUUUGCUGUGCCCUAAACGGAAUUGGCUUGUGAUUAGUUUGGUGCAAGUCAGUUGUAUUUUUGUAGACAACACACAAAGGGAACCCUGGACUAAGACUUCCUCAAGGCAGGUGUCAAUUUAAGACCACCUUGAAUCUGUGCAUUUUAUACUUUGUUCAGCAAAGUUGAUACAAACAAAUUUAUUGCAAAACACAAGUAUACCGGAACAUGAAUUGAUACAAGUACCUGUGAGAAUACCAUUUGCUUUUGACAUUUGCAAUCAACCUUGCAUUAGUAAAUGAGCCAGAGAAUGUAAUGUUCACAUACAGACUUUCCUUGUAUACUGGCCUUAUGAGAUUCCCCUAACCAAACAACAUCAGUCUACUUCAUAGUUUUAUGGUUUUAGAAUAAAAACAAUCUUAUGGGUAAUUCUGCAGGUAAGGAGAUACCUUGUGAACAUUGCUUUGGACUAUAUUGAGGUCCCCAAAUUAUGGAACAAUUUUAAAACCCCCCAUUGUAUGAAGUAGAAUAAAAUCAUGGCAGCUUUUAUGAGGAAAUUCCCCUUCUGUGGGCAGUGGCAAAGUAGCCAGCUCUAAGGGGUCAUUUAAUAAAAGGCGCUAAAUCUGCCCAGGAGCAGUAAUCCAUAGCGACCAAUCAGCAGGUAGGAUUUACUGGUCACCUGCUUAAAAGCAAACCUCUUAUUGGUUGCUCUGGGUUACUGCUACUGGGCAAACUUAGUGACUUUUAUUACAUAUGGGGGUAAGUGUUUUGUUGUAUGAGCAUUUUCCAGCUCUGUGCAUUAGGUGGCAGAACACUCAGAAUCCCCCAAUUUAAUUUUAUGGGUAUUACAUGAACUAUUUAACUUGCAGGUCAGACUAGUGGUCCCUUUUUCCAUCCAUAAUAAUGUACAUAAUGAAUUUAUGCGCCAUAUGCAAAUUUGUGAUGAAUUUCGCCACCUGCAAAUGCAGCGAAAAUUCUCGGGCAAAUUCCCUCCCUGGGGUAAAAAAUAUAAUUAAUUGGCACCCAUUGACCUUAAUAUGUGUCAGAAUUGUCUCCGGCGUCAAAAUUCGUGUUUCACUAGUUUUUUCGCUGAAGCGAAACGGGCAAAAUUCGCCCAUCAAUGCUUUACUAAGAUGAGAUCCACUGCACUCACCCAGUUUAAAUAUAUUAAGGACAUUAAACAUUAUCCCCCAUAUGUAAUAAUAUAAAGCACAAAGUCUGACCAGGAGCAGUAACCCAUAGCAAUCAAGAAGAUGUUUGAAUAUAAAUCGGUGACCAGGAAAUUCUGCUUGUUGUUUGCUAUAUGUUACUGCAGACGGCAAUCUUCGUGCCUUUUAUUACAUAAACCCUUUUGUACAUUGAGCUACUUAAAAAUGCCCUCCUUUUUAAACAAAAUGGAUUGUUUUCAAAAUAUUGCAGUAUUUUGAAGCUAACCAACUAAGUUAUAACGGGUCUGGCUAAUCCUACACUCAAUUUCAUAUGAUUCAUUAAGAAUUCUACUGCUUCAUUCUGCAUACUUAGUUUACAGGGACUACAUGUAACUUGAUUUUUAAGUUUAAAGCUUCCAAAUGUUCACCCUUUUUAUUGGCCACCACUCGGACUGUAGCUGGAACUGAUGGGAGCUACAAUAUGGAGCUGACCACUUCUCUCCCAAGAAAAAAAAAAUUGGAUCAGAGGGUGGGAGGAAAAGAAAUAAAUAUGUGCCUCUCCAACCUCUCCUGUCAAUAAGAUAGUGCACUUCAGAAAAUGGCGUGGCAGAGCAGGUACAGAGAGGAGCUGGGUGAUGCUGCAAUAAGUUUAACCACAACAGUUAUACAGGCAAAGUCAAGAGAUCAUCUGCACUCAUUCAUUAUUGAAUAUAUCAAUAUAUUAAAGUCAUUAUGACAUAUUUUGUGCAUUAAUCUACUAAAACAUACCCCCCACUUUAAACAAAAUAUUGCACCCUGCCUAUUGUAAUUUUUCUGCGGAGUACAACUUUUUUUUUUUAUAUAUUAUAUUUUUUAUAAUAUUUCUUAUAGGAAAAAUGGGGACACCAGAUUAUUUUGUUGCCCAUUCACUGAUCAGGAAAUACAUUUUGAUUGUCAAAACUAUGCCCAUGAUUUGAUAUAGGAAUUCUGUAAGAAAGUUAAAGCACGAUGAUUUACAUUUGUGCACAAUGUAGAUUGUGUAUUUUAAAACACAAGUCAUUGACAAUAAUGUGACGAAUAUUUGAUGCAUAUUUUGUAUUGGUGUGAAUUAUCAAUAUCUCUGUUACUACUUUUCUUGCAUUAAUAUUAUUUUGCUAUAGAAUGCUCUAUUACCAGAUGCUUGAUUAUUUUAUCAAAAAAUUUGAUCUAGGCUGCAUUAUAUACAACUAAAUUAACAUUUAGUGGUAUGUAAUAAUUUUGUUUUGUUUUAUUCUUUAGGGUUUUUCUCCUGUAGGUUACAUUGUGGAAUUUAUACCAUUAUCUGGUUGCUAGGGUCAUACUUAUCCUAACAACUGAGAAGUGGCUUGAAUGACACUUAGGAAGAGCAGGAGAGACUCUGGAUAGAAAGUGAUAUGCAGUAUUUUAAUAAAUUAAAAUCUGCAAGUUUGUGAAUUUGGAAGCACCUUCCACCAAAUGAGAAACAACAAAUGGUGUGCAGGGUCAAGUAGAAUACCAUUGAACGUUAAGUUUUAUUUUUUGGUUAGUGGGAAUCAAUGAAUACUGUAUGGGGGGUGCAAUUUCAGAGGUCAUUCUUUUUUUUAAGGGCUCUAAUGAA